UUGGAGGGCAAGUCUGGUGCCAGCAGCCGCGGUAAUUCCAGCUCCAGUAGCGUAUAUUAAAGUUGUUGCAGUUAAAAAGCUCGUAGUUGAAUUUCGAGACCGGCUUACUGGUCGUGCUUUUGUACGUACUGGUAUAAUCGGUCUCUCCUUUCUGACGAACUAUAAUGCCAUUAAUUUGGUGUUAUAGGGAAUCAGGACUGUUACUUUGAAAAAAUUAGAGUGUUUAAAGCAGGCUCACGCUUGAGUACAUUAGCAUGGAAUAACGGAAUAGGACGUUUGAUUCUAUUUUGUUGGUUUCUAGGAUCGACGUAAUGAUUAAUAGGGAUAGUUGGGGGCAUUAGUAUUCAAUUGUCAGAGGUGAAAUUCUUGGAUUUAUUGAAGACUAACUACUGCGAAAGCAUUUGCCAAGGAUGUUUUCAUUAAUCAAGAACGAAAGUUAGGGGAUCGAAGACGAUCAGAUACCGUCGUAGUCUUAACCAUAAACUAUGCCGACUAGGGAUCGGAUGGAUUAGUUUUAAUUUUU
rnacentral:rRNA from 1 species